rnacentral:rRNA from 1 species
AUUGAACGCUAGCGGGAUGCUUUACACAUGCAAGUCGAACGAGUGGCGGACGGGUGAGUAAUAUAUCGGAACGUGCCCAGUAGCGGGGGAUAACUACUCGAAAGAGUGGCUAAUACCGCAUACUCUGGUAACGGCCUAUAUUGGAUUGGCUGGUUGGUGGGGUAAGGGCUAACCAAGGCAACGAUCCGUAGCUGGUUUGAGAGGACGACCAGCCACACUGGGACUGGGACACGGCCCAGACUCCUACGGGAGGUAGCAGUGGGGAAUUUUGGACAAUGGGGGAAACCCGGAUCCAGCCAUCCCGCGUGUAUGAGAAGGCCUUCGGGUUGUAAAGUACUUUUGGCAGAGAAGCGGUAUCUGCAGAAUAAGCACCGGCUAACUACGUGCCAGCAGCCGCGGUAAUAC